rnacentral:rRNA from 1 species
UACGUAGGGCGCGAGCGUUGUCCGGAAUUAUUGGGCGUAAAGAGCUCGUAGGCGGCCUGUUGCGUCCGCUGUGAAAUCCCAGGGCUCAACCCUGGGCGUGCAGUGGAUACGGGCAGGCUGGAGGCAGGCAGGGGAGAACGGAAUUCCCGGUGUAGCGGUGAAAUGCGCAGAUAUCGGGAGGAACACCAACGGCGAAAGCACUCUGCUGGGCCGACACUGACACUGAGAGACGAAAGCUAGGGGAGCGAAUGGG